UGCCUUGUGGCCAAGUGGUAAGGCUCUGGACUCUGACUCCAGCAUUCAUAGGUUCGAAUCCUAUCAAGGCAACCA
rnacentral:tRNA from 1 species